GAUGAACGCUAGCGGCAGGCUUAAUACAUGCAAGUCAAGGGGGUAGCAAUACAACCGGCGCACGGGUGAGUAACGCGUACACAACAUACCAUAUACUGGGGUAUAGCUUUGGGAAACUGAAGGUAAUCCCCCAUAACAUUGCGAGAGGGCAUCUGAUUGCAAUUAAAGUUUCGGCGGUAUAUGAUUGGUGUGCGUUUGAUUAGCUAGUUGGUAGGGUAACGGCCUACCAAGGCGACGAUCAAUAGCUGGCGUGAGAGCGCGACCAGCCACACUGGAACUGAGACACGGUCCAGACUCCUACGGGAGGCAGCAGUAGGGAAUAUUGGACAAUGGAGGAAACUCUGAUCCAGCCAUGCCGCGUGAUAGAUGAAGGCCCUCUGGGUUGUAAAUAUCUUUUAUCUGGGAAGAAACAAUCUUAUUCUUAAGAUCUUGACGGUACCAGAGGAAUAAGCACCGGCUAACUCCGUGCCAGCAGCCGCGGUAAACAUA
rnacentral:rRNA from 1 species